rnacentral:rRNA from 1 species
CAUUAUCGAAUAAACUUGAACAGGCUGUUGCUGGUCUUCUUGUGGGACAUGUGCACGCUUGUCAUCUUUAUCAUUUCUCCAACUGUGCACGUAUUUUGUAGACCUGGAGGGGGGAUGGAAUUCGUUCCGAGUGGGGACUGCUGUGCUUCAAAAAAAAAAAGAGGUCGGCUUUCCCUUUGAAAGGUCUAUGUCACUUUUUCACAAACCAAUGUGUCUAGAAUGUUGUAAUGAAUAAAAGUUAUAAAAAACAACUUUCAGCAACGGAUCUCUUGGCUCUCGCAUCGAUGAAGAACGCAGCGAAAUGCGAUAAGUAAUGUGAAUUGCAGAAUUCAGUGAAUCAUCGAAUCUUUGAACGCAUCUUGCGCUCCUUGGUAUUCCGAGGAGCAUGCCUGUUUGAGUGUCAUUUUGAACUCUCAAAGCCCCACGUUUUGACGUGGCUUUGGACUUGAGGGGCUUUUUGCAGGCUUUUGAUCAAAAAGCCUGGUCCCCUUGAAAAUCAUCAGUGGUAUCUGGAGCGGAAACCGCUAGGUGGUUGAUAACAUUCAUCUAUGCCUUUGGGUAUGCCGCGUAAAAUGUGCUGCUUCCAACGCCCCCAUGCUCUUUGACAACUUG